rnacentral:SRP_RNA from 1 species
GGUCGGAGCGGUCGGACGUUUAGGCAUCGUAAACCCGGUCAGGUUCGGAAGAAAGCAGCCGCAGCGAUUUUCGGCGGGUCGAUCGCUCUCUUUGACAC